rnacentral:rRNA from 1 species
UACGAAGGGGGCUAGCGUUGCUCGGAUUGACUGGGCGUAAAGGGCGCGUAGGCGGUUUGCAUAGUCAGACGUGAAAUUCCCGGGCUCAACCUGGGGGCUGCGCUUGAGACGUGCGAUCUUGAGUGGGGAAGAGGGUCGUGGAAUUCCCAGUGUAGAGGUGAAAUUCGUAGAUAUUGGGAAGAACACCGGUGGCGAAGGCGGCGACCUGGUCCUUGACUGACGCUGAGGCGCGAAAGCGUGGGGAGCAAACAGG